rnacentral:rRNA from 1 species
UACGGGGGGGGGCAAGCGUUGUUCGGAAUUACUGGGCGUAAAGGGCGCGUAGGCGGUUUGCUAAGUUGGAUGUGAAAACUCUGGGCUUAACCCAGAGCCUGCAUCCAAAACUGGCAAACUUGAGUACUGGAGGGGAAAGCGGAAUUCCUGGUGUAGCGGUGAAAUGCGUAGAUAUCAGGAGGAACACCGGUGGCGAAGGCGGGUCUCUGGGCAGUAACUGACGCUGAGGAGCGAAAGCGUGGGGAGCGAACAGG